rnacentral:hammerhead_ribozyme from 1 species
AUCCAGCUGACGAGUCUCAAAUAGGACGAAAAGCACAUUCUGGAU